rnacentral:rRNA from 1 species
AGAGUUUGAUCCUGGCUCAGGAUGAACGCUAGCGGCAGGCUUAAUACAUGCAAGUCGAGGGGGAUCAGUUGGGUAGCAAUACCUGGCUGUGAGACCGGCAAACGGGUGAGGAACACGUACGCAACUUUCCCAAAACUGGUGAAUAGCCCUCCGAAAGGAGGAUUAAUACACCGUAACAUAACGAAAUGGCAUCAUUUUGUUAUUAUAGCAGCAAUGCGGUUUUGGAUAGGCGUGCGCCUGAUUAGGUAGUUGGCGGGGUAACGGCCCACCAAGCCUACGAUCAGUAACUGGUGUGAGAGCACGACCAGUCACACGGGCACUGAGACACGGGCCCGACUCCUACGGGAGGCAGCAGUAAGGAAUAUUGGUCAAUGGACGAAAGUCUGAACCAGCCAUGCCGCGUGAAGGAUGAAGGUCCUCUGGAUUGUAAACUUCUUUUAUCUGGGACGAAAAAAGGGAAUUCUUUCUCACUUGACGGUACCAGAAGAAUAAGCACCGGCUAACUCCGUGCCAGCAGCCGCGGUAAUACGGAGGGUGCAAGCGUUAUCCGGAUUCACUGGGUUUAAAGGGUGCGUAGGUGGGCAGUUAAGUCAGUGGUGAAAUCUCCGGGCUUAACCCGGAAACUGCCAUUGAUACUAUCUGUCUUGAAUACUCUGGAGGUAAGCGGAAUAUGUCAUGUAGCGGUGAAAUGCUUAGAUAUGACAUAGAACACCGAUUGCGAAGGCAGCUUACUACGGAGUCAUUGACACUGAGGCACGAAAGCGUGGGGAUCAAACAGGAUUAGAUACCCUGGUAGUCCACGCCCUAAACGAUGGAUACUCGACAUUUGCGAUACACAGUAAGUGUCUGAGCGAAAGCAUUAAGUAUCCCACCUGGGAAGUACGACCGCAAGGUUGAAACUCAAAGGAAUUGACGGGGGCCCGCACAAGCAGCGGAGCGUGUGGUUUAAUUCGAUGCUACACGAAGAACCUUACCCAGGCUUGACAUACAGGUGGUAGAGAUCCGAAAGGUGAUCGACCCGCAAGGGCAUAAGUACAGGUGCUGCAUGGCUGUCGUCAGCUCGUGCCGUGAGGUGUUGGGUUAAGUCCCGCAACGAGCGCAACCCUUACCAUUAGUUGCCACCGGAGCAAUCCGAGCACUCUAAUGGAACUGCCUACGCAAGUAGUGAGGAAGGUGAGGAUGACGUCAAGUCCGCAUGGCCCUUACGCCUAGGGCUACACACGUGCUACAAUGGCCGCCGCAACGGGCAGCAAAAUCGCGAGAUGGAGCGAAUCCCUAAAAAGCGGCCUCAGUUCGGAUUGGAGUCUGCAACUCGACUCCAUGAAGUUGGAAUUGCUAGUAAUCGCGUAUCAGCAUGACGCGGUGAAUACGUUCCCGGGCCUUGUACACACCGCCCGUCAAGCCAUGGAAGCCGGGGGUACCCAAAGAUAGUGACUCAACCGCAAGGAGAGAGCUAUUUAAGGUAAAACUGGUGACUGGGGCUAAGUCGUAACAAGGUAGCCG